GACGAACGCUGGCGGCGUGCUUAACACAUGCAAGUCGAGCGGAAAGGCCCUUUCGGGGGUACUCGAGCGGCGAACGGGUGAGUAACACGUGAGUAAUCUGCCCUUCACUUGGGGAUAACCUCCGGAAACGGUGGCUAAUACCCGAUACGACCAUUCCUCGCAUGAGGUGGGGGUGGAAAGUUUUUCGGUGGGGGAUGUGCUCGCGGCCUAUCAGCUUGUUGGUGGGGUAAUGGCCUACCAAGGCUUCGACGGGUAGCCGGCCUGAGAGGGUGACCGGCCACACUGGGACUGAGACACGGCCCAGACUCCUACGGGAGGCAGCAGUGGGGAAUAUUGGACAAUGGGCGGAAGCCUGAUCCAGCAACGCCGCGUGAGGGAUGACGGCCUUCGGGUUGUAAACCUCUUUCACCUGUGACGAAGCGAAAGUGACGGUAGCAGGAGAAGAAGCACCGGCCAACUACGUG
rnacentral:rRNA from 1 species